rnacentral:rRNA from 1 species
UACGGAGGGUGCAAGCGUUAUCCGGAUUCACUGGGUUUAAAGGGUGCGUAGGAGGGCAGGUAAGUCAGUGGUGAAAUCUUCGAGCUUAACUCGGAAACUGCCGUUGAUACUAUCUGUCUUGAAUCCCGUGGAGAUGAGCGGAAUAUGUCAUGUAGCGGUGAAAUGCUUAGAUAUGACAUAGAACACCAAUUGCGAAGGCAGCUCGUUACACGAAGAUUGACUCUGAGGCACGAAAGCGUGGGGAGCGAACGGG